ACGGCAGCACGGGGGCAACCCUGGUGGCGAGUGGCGAACGGGUGAGUAAUGCAUCGGAACGUGUCCUCUUGUGGGGGAUAACCAGUCGAAAGAUUGGCUAAUACCGCAUGAGAUCGAAAGAUGAAAGCGGGGGACCGCAAGGCCUCGCGCGAGAGGAGCGGCCGAUGCCGGAUUAGCUAGUUGGUGGGGUAAAGGCCCACCAAGGCGACGAUCCGUAGCUGGUCUGAGAGGACGACCAGCCACACUGGGACUGAGACACGGCCCAGACUCCUACGGGAGGCAGCAGUGGGGAAUUUUGGACAAUGGGCGCAAGCCUGAUCCAGCCAUGCCGCGUGUGUGAAGAAGGCCUUCGGGUUGUAAAGCACUUUCGGGCGGAACGAAAUCGCGCGCAUGAACAAUGCGCGUGGAUGACGGUACCGUAAGAAGAAGCACCGGCUAACUACGUGCCAGCAGCCGCGGUAAUACGUAGGGUGCAAGCGUUAAUCGGAAUUACUGGGCGUAAAGGGUGCGCAGGCGGCCCCGCAUGUCAGGCGUGAAAUCCCCGGGCUCAACCUGGGAAUGGCGUCUGAAACUACGGGGCUGGAGUGUGGCAGAGGGAGGUGGAAUUCCACGUGUAGCGG
rnacentral:rRNA from 1 species